rnacentral:rRNA from 1 species
AUUGAACGCUGGCGGCAGGCCUAACACAUGCAAGUCGAACGAUAGGCGGACGCGUGAGGAAUAUCUGGGAAACUGCCCGAUGGAGAGGGAUAACUACUUGAAAAGGUAACACAUACCACAUAACAUCGGAUGUGCCCAGAUGGGAUUCGCUAGUGGGUGGGGUAACGUCGCAUCUAGGCGACUAUCCCUAGCUGGUAUGAGAGGAUGACCAGCCACACUGGAACUGAUAUAGGGUCCAAAAGCAUACGGGAGGCAGCAGUGGGGAAUAUUGCACAAGUGGGGAAACCCUGAUGCAGCAACGCCGCGUGUGGGAUGACGGCCUUCGGGUUGUAACCCGCUUUCAGCCAUGACGCGGUAGUGGCAGAAGAAGCACCGGCUAACUACGUGCCAGCAGCCGCGGUAAUUC